rnacentral:rRNA from 1 species
UACGUAGGUGGCAAGCGUUAUCCGGAAUUACUGGGCGUAAAGCGCACGCCGGCGGUCUUUUAAGUUUGACGUGAAAGCUCUCGGCUUAACUGGGAGAGGUCGUUGAAUACUGGGAGACUUGAGGAAAUGAGAGGGGUGUAGAAUUCUCGGUGUAGUGGUGGAAUGCGUAGAUAUCGGGGGGAAGACCAGUGGCGAAAGCGGCACCCGAGCAUGUUUCUGACGCUCAUGUGCGAAAGCGUGGGGAGCGAACGGG